rnacentral:rRNA from 1 species
CCACCAUUUCAGUUUGGGCACUCUAAGGAGACUGCCGGUGUUAAACCGGAGGAAGGUGGGGAUGACGUCAAGUCCUCAUGGCCCUUAUAUCCAGGGCUACACACGUGCUACAAUGGCCGGUACAAAGGGUCGCAAUACCGCAAGGUGGAGCUAAUCCCAAAAAGCCGGUCUCAGUUCGGAUUGGAGUCUGCAACUCGACUCCAUGAAGUCAGAAUCGCUAGUAAUCGCGUAUCAGCAUGACCGCGGUCGAAUACGUUCCCGGGCCUU